AUCAACCAUAUGUUCCAGCUAGAUGUAAAAUCAAAAUUGGCUAAGACUAUAGGCAAAACAAAGUGUCUGCUACAACAUUUAGCUUAUUGCCUAAAGAAAGCUACUACUGCUAACUAGCUAACAUAACUAAAAACUAACCAGAAUAAGGACUAUACUAACAGUUAUCAAUCCUUCCCAAUUGCUAGAAAGCAAUUACCAUGUGAAACGACGACAUCUGUGUUUUUCUUUUUUUGAUAUACGAAUAUAGUGCAUACUCGUGAUCUUUAACUUGUGACAAUUUAAUUCUUGGGAUAUUUUACAUAAUCUGUGAGUAGUAGGACUGUUCUAAUUUGGAACAUGACUCUGGUUGAAAACUUGGAUGAGCCCAUGUGAAUUAUAUCUCCUCUUCAAUGCACAUAAUUCCUUUCAUUAUCAGUCAGCUGUACUCUAUGAGGUCUAGAAUCAAUGUUGCAUGCACAAUCAAGUGAUAAUGUCUGGUCAUAUUGGCAAUAUCUUGAUUUGGUAAGAUAAUAUCACGGCAAGCACCUGAUUCGCAUUUCCAGUGUUACAAUGAGAUUGAACAAGCAGCCAUGUGAGCAUGGAGCAAAGAGGAACCAUGGUACACCAUAUGCCCUCCUUAUUGGAAAGAGGGCUCCACUGGAAAUUCUGAUGUGUAUGCAGGUAAGAUGGCCUUCUAGGUUUGUAAGUGGUUUGUAAGUUGUGCUUUGAGCAAGAAGAGCAGUGAAGAGCUAUAUGUAGUGUGUAGAAUAGUAGGCGAUGGAUGAUUGGAUUGCAUUGCUGUGUAUGUUGGUCUUAUUGAGCUCAAGAAUGUAUUUUUCUUUUUACGACAUUUUGUAGUCACACCUUAAUGUAUGAAUAUUGCUUUCUAUUUUGUUUCCUUUUACUAAACUCAUUUUAUUUUUGAAUGGUAAUGUAAUUUUGAUAAUCCAUUUAUCAAAUUCAC